GUUAUCAAAUCAAAACCCUCAAAUAAUAUUUCUCUUCCCUCCCCAGGGAAGUCAGCGAAAGCUCCAUGCUGCUGUGCCUGAAAAAGAGAUUCCAUCGCAACUUUAUUUAUACCUACAUCGGGCAUAUCUUGAUCUGCAUCAAUCCUUUCAAGCCACUCAGCCUUUUUUCAGAAGAUGUGGUGGUUCAGUACCAGAAUGGCCUGCUCUCCAGAAAUGCACCACAUAUAUUUGGCAUCACAGAAAUGGCAUAUGCCUUCUCUCAGAGCUCGGAGAAAGAGCAG